GCUGGGCAUGGUGGUGUAUGCCUGUAGUCCCAGAUACUUGGGAGGCUGAGGAAGGAGGAUCGCUUGAGCCCAGGAGUUCAAGGGUACAGUGAACUGUCAUUGUGCCACUGUACUUCAGCCUGGGUGACACAGCGAGAUGCUGUCUCUA
ensembl:misc_RNA Metazoa_SRP Metazoan signal recognition particle RNA